rnacentral:tRNA from 1 species
GUAGGUACAGCUCAAUGGUACAGCGCAUGCCUUGUACGCAUGAGGUCCUGGGUUCAAUCCCCAGUACCUCCA